rnacentral:lncRNA from 1 species
CUGGGAUUGAACCCAGUACCUCACACAUGCCAGGCAAGCGCUCUGCCACUGAGCCACAGCCCCUGUCCCCAAGUUUCCAUUGUGACUUACCACAAGCCCAGGAGAGUGUCAGGGGAUCUUCAGAUGUGUUCUGAGUGUGGCAGUGGGGCCCCAGUGGGGCCCCAUCGACCCUCCUUUCUGGACAGAAGUAACUUGUACUCCCCACAGACACUUCCAAAUGUGCAGGAAGUAGGAUCUCAAACCAAUUUUCCAUUCUAGAACCCCACUUCUCCAAGGGCUGGCAGCAAAUCCUUAAAAUUCCAAUUCUCUCUCAGCAUUCCUCAUGCUAACUGCAUCUUGUGAGAAAUAGAAAGUCAGGGGUUCAUUUUCUGAAUACAGUAUUUAAACAUAAAUGUAAAAUUGGGAUGUAAGAAUGGUAGCCUGAGGGUAAGAAGAGCAGGAUGGAAGGUUACAAGCAGUUAACACACAACAGCACCACCGCCUGUGAUAUGGAAGAUCAAAGUCCCUGCACCUAAACAGCUCUUGACAAAUGAAGUCAGGCAAGGGGCAAUCUGGACCAACAGAGGUAGAAACUUUCUGUUUAGAAAUAGUAACUGGGUAAAGAAGAACUGUGUGCCAAAAUACAUUCACCCCAAGAAGACCUUCCUGCCACAGAGAACAGAGGGAGGUGGGGCAAGAAAAGGUGCAUUUCUUUAACCCAAUAGGAGACAGUAAAACCUAGCUGACAUUCAGAGGACACUGCCCGCCCCAAGUCCUCAGCUAAUGAGGAACUGGGGGAGGGACCUUCUGCCCUAGGAUGAAAUGCUGAUUGUCACAGCUGUGGCUUUGCCACAUCUUGCAAAUGCCUCGCUUCCUGCUCUACUGCAUGUUGCAGACCAUUCUUUGGGUUUGCACAGGUGAGCAUGUGUCUCACACUCACCAGGGCACACUGUGUCAACAUUUGUUCCCAAGACUGCAUUCAAGUGGAGAGUGUUUUAAUGGUCGUAGUUUCACUGAGUACUGGAUGCCAAUUUUUAAAGGGUUUUUUGUUUGUCUUGUGGUGGUUUUGUCUGUUUUUAUUUUUAUGUAUCUGCAUGUCUCCCAGGAGUGCAAAGCAGAGAGGAAUGACCUGGAAUUUGAGUGUUAAAAACUACUUAUGCCUCUCUUGAUCUUGCCCAGGAACAGACACCUUUGCAGUGUCUUUAGGCCACUUUUAGGGUCCUGUGUCCUCAGGUACUUUCCUGUUUUUUUCCUGAGGCUUCCAAAUGGUGCCCACAGCCAUCCUGUGCCUGUCAAUGUGCAGGUAAUUUCAGGCCCUGGGUCAGCUCCUCCUAGAGGACAGACUGAGGUGUAGACUGCAGAUUCUGAGGGGAGCAGCUGGAGAUACCCAGGUCAGGCAGUGAAAUGCUGGUGUUGAGGGAACAUGACAGACAUGGUUCUUGCCCUCUGGAUUCUCAGAGCUGGAAGGAAGAACAGUUAUCUCAAAGAGGAGGGAAAAGUGGCCCCAGG